rnacentral:rRNA from 1 species
AACGAACGCUGGCGGCAGGCUUAACACAUGCAAGUCGAACGAGAUCUUCGGAUCUAGUGGCAGACGGGUGAGGAACACGUGGGAACAUCCCUUUCAGUUCGGAAUAACGUUGGGAAACUAACGCUAAUACCGGAUACGUCCUUCGGGAGAAAGAUUUAUCGCUGAAAGAUUGGCCCGCGUCUGAUUAGCUAGUUGGUGAGGUAACGGCUCACCAAGGCUACGAUCAGUAGCUGAUCUGAGAGGAUGAUCAGCCACAUUGGGACUGAGACGCGGCCCAAACUCCUACGGGAGGCAGCAGUGGGGAAUAUUGGACAAUGGGCGGAAGCCUGAUCCAGCCAUGCCGCGUGAGUGAUGACGGCCUUCGGGUUGUAAAGCUCUUUUGUCCGGGAAGAUAAUGACUGUACCGGAAGAAUAAGCCCCGGCAAACUUCGUGCCAGCCGCCGCCGUAACAC